AACGAACGCUGGCGGCAUGCCUAACACAUGCAAGUCGAACGAGACCUCCGGGACUAGUGGCGCACGGGUGCGUAACGCGUGGGAACCUGCCCUUAGGUUUGGAAUAACUCUCCGAAAGGGGUGCUAACACCGGAUAAUGUCUUCGGACCAAAGAUUUAUCGCCUUUGGAUGGGCCCGCGUUGGAUUAGCUAGUUGGUAGGGUAAAAGCCUACCAAGGCGUCGAUCCAUAGCUGGUUUGAGAGGAUGGUCAGCCACACUGAGGCUGGGACACGGCCCGGACUCCUACGGGAGGCGGCAGUGGGGGAUAUUGGACAAUGGGCGGAGGGCUGAACCAGCAAUGCCGCGAAAGUGAUGAAGGCCUUAGAGUUGUGAAGCUCUUUUACCCGGGAUGAUAAUGACGGUACCGGAAGAAUAAGCUCCGGCUAACUCCGUG
rnacentral:rRNA from 1 species